AAGUACUUGAAGAGGACCCAUGACAAAGGACAAACCCACAAGCAAGGCAACCAUGGCUGACCAACAAACUGUUGAGAUGAUCACAUCGGUUUUUUCGUUAGCCCGAAAUAAAUCGCUCCCCGGGUGAUAAUGAGACCCCUUUUUUCCUGGGCUACGCCCCCACUAUAUAAAGGGAAUGCAAGCAUAGGGAAAGGUAGAGUGAACCUCAACAUCCGAGUAGCAGUGUCUAAACUUUUAUAAAUCUUCU
rnacentral:lncRNA from 1 species